AGUCUGAAUCAGCUUGUGUGUUAGUGGAAGCGUCUGGAAAGUCGCAGGGUACAGGGUGAUACUCCCGUACACUAAAAUGCACAGGUUGUGAACUCGAAGAGUAGGGCGGGACACGUGGUAUCCUGUCUGAAUAUGGGGGGACCAUCCUCCAAGGCUAAAUACUCCUGACUGACCGAUAGUGAACCAGUACCGUGAGGGAAAGGCGAAAAGAACCCCGGCGAGGGGAGUGAAAAAGAACCUGAAACCGUGUACGUACAAGCAGUAGGAGCCCACUAGUUGGGUGACUGCGUACCUUUUGUAUAAUGGGUCAGCGACUUAUAUUCUGUAGCAAGGUUAACCGUAUAGGGGAGCCGCAGGGAAACCGAGUCUUAACUGGGCGUUAAGUUGCAGGGUAUAGACCCGAAACCCGGUGAUCUAGCCAUGGGCAGGUUGAAGGUUGGGUAACACUAACUGGAGGACCGAACCGACUAAUGUUGAAAAAUUAGCGGAUGACUUGUGGCUGGGGGUGAAAGGCCAAUCAAACCGGGAGAUAGCUGGUUCUCCCCGAAAGCUAUUUAGGUAGCGCCUCGUGAACUCAUCUUCGGGGGUAGAGCACUGUUUCGGCUAGGGGGUCAUCCCGACUUACCAACCCGAUGCAAACUACGAAUACCGAAGAAUGUUAUCACGGGAGACACACGGCGGGUGCUAACGUCCGUCGUGAAGAGGGAAACAACCCAGACCGCCAGCUAAGGUCCCAAAGUCAUGGUUAAGUGGGAAACGAUGUGGGAAGGCCCAGACAGCCAGGAUGUUGGCUUAGAAGCAGCCAUCAUUUAAAGAAAGCGUAAUAGCUCACUGGUCGAGUCGGCCUGCGCGGAAGAUGUAACGGGGCUAAACCAUGCACCGAAGCUGCGGCAGCGACACUAUGUGUUGUUGGGUAGGGGAGCGUUCUGUAAGCCGUUGAAGGUGGCCUGUGAGGGUUGCUGGAGGUAUCAGAAGUGCGAAUGCUGACAUAAGUAACGAUAAUGCGGGUGAAAAACCCGCACGCCGGAAGACCAAGGGUUCCUGUCCAACGUUAAUCGGGGCAGGGUGAGUCGACCCCUAAGGCGAGGCCGAAAGGCGUAGUCGAUGGGAAACAGGUUAAUAUUCCUGUACUCGGUGUUACUGCGAAGGGGGGACGGAGAAGGCUAUGUUGGCCGGGCGACGGUUGUCCCGGUUUAAGCAUGUAGGCGGAUGUUCCAGGUAAAUCCGGAACGUUACUAACGCUGAGGUGUGAUGACGAGGCACUACGGUGCUGAAGUGACAAAUGCCCUGCUUCCAGGAAAAGCCUCUAAGCAUCAGGUAACAUCAAAUCGUACCCCAAACCGACACAGGUGGUCAGGUAGAGAAUACCAAGGCGCUUGAGAGAACUCGGGUGAAGGAACUAGGCAAAAUGGUGCCGUAACUUCGGGAGAAGGCACGCUGAUGGUAGGUGAAGUGACUUGCUCAUGGAGCUGAAAUCAGUCGAAGAUACCAGCUGGCUGCAACUGUUUAUUAAAAACACAGCACUGUGCAAACACGAAAGUGGACGUAUACGGUGUGACGCCUGCCCGGUGCCGGAAGGUUAAUUGAUGGGGUUAUCCGUAAGGAGAAGCUCUUGAUCGAAGCCCCGGUAAACGGCGGCCGUAACUAUAACGGUCCUAAGGUAGCGAAAUUCCUUGUCGGGUAAGUUCCGACCUGCACGAAUGGCGUAAUGAUGGCCAGGCUGUCUCCACCCGAGACUCAGUGAAAUUGAACUCGCUGUGAAGAUGCAGUGUACCCGCGGCAAGACGGAAAGACCCCGUGAACCUUUACUAUAGCUUGACACUGAACACUGGUCCUUGAUGUGUAGGAUAGGUGGGAGGCUUUGAAGUGUGGACGCCAGUCUGCAUGGAGCCAUCCUUGAAAUACCACCCUUUAAUGGCUGGUGUUCUAACGUGGGCCCGUAAUCCGGGUUGCGGACAGUGUCUGGUGGGUAGUUUGACUGGGGCGGUCUCCUCCUAAAGAGUAACGGAGGAGCACGAAGGUCAGCUAAUCCUGGUCGGACAUCAGGAGGUUAGUGCAAUGGCAUAAGCUGGCUUGACUGCGAGCGUGACGGCGCGAGCAGGUGCGAAAGCAGGUCAUAGUGAUCCGGUGGUUCUGAAUGGAAGGGCCAUCGCUCAACGGAUAAAAGGUACUCCGGGGAUAACAGGCUGAUACCGCCCAAGAGUUCAUAUCGACGGCGGUGUUUGGCACCUCGAUGUCGGCUCAUCACAUCCUGGGGCUGAAGUAGGUCCCAAGGGUAUGGCUGUUCGCCAUUUAAAGUGGUACGCGAGCUGGGUUUAGAACGUCGUGAGACAGUUCGGUCCCUAUCUGCCGUGGGCGCUGGAGAAUUGAGGGGGGCUGCUCCUAGUACGAGAGGACCGGAGUGGACGCAUCACUGGUGUUCGGGUUGUCAUGCCAAUGGCAUUGCCCGGUAGCUAAAUGCGGAAGAGAUAAGUGCUGAAAGCAUCUAAGCACGAAACUUGCCCCGAGAUGAGUUCUCCCUGACUCC
rnacentral:rRNA from 1 species